rnacentral:rRNA from 1 species
GUCAUUGGAAACUGGGGAACUUGAGUGGCAGAAGAGGAGAGUGGAAUUCCACGUGUAGCGGUGAAAUGCGUAGAGAUGUGGAGGAACACCAGUGGCGAAGGCGACUCUUUGGUCUGUAACUGACAUGAGGCCGAAACGCGUGCGGAGCGAACAGGAUUAGAUACCCUGGUAGUCCACGCCGUAAACGAUGAGUGAUAAGUGUUAGAGGGUUUCCGCCCCUUAGUGCUGCAGCAAACGCAUUAAGCACUCCGCCUGGGGAGUACGGUCGCAAGACUGAAACUCAAAGGAAUUGACGGGGGCCCGCACAAGCGGUGGAGCAUGUGGUUUAAUUUGAAGCAACGCGAAGAACCUUACCAGGUCUUGACAUCCUCUGACAACCCUAGAGAUAGGGCUUCCCCUUCGGGGGCAGAGUGACAGGUGGUGCAUGGUUGUCGUCAGCUCGUGUCGUGAGAUGUUGGGUUAAGUCCCGCAACGAGCGCAACCCUUGAUCUUAGUUGCCAGCAUUCAGUUGGGCACUCUAAGGUGACUGCCGGUGACAAACCGGAGGAAGGUGGGGAUGACGUCAAAUCAUCAUGCCCCUUAUGACCUGGGCUACACACGUGCUACAAUGGGCAGAACAAAGGGCAGCGAAGCCGCGAGGCUAAGCCAAUCCCACAAAUCUGUUCUCAGUUCGGAUCGCAGUCUGCAACUCGACUGCGUGAAGCUGGAAUCGCUAGUAAUCGCGGAUCAGCAUGCCGCGGUGAAUACGUUCCCGGGCCUUGUACACACCGCCCGUCACACCACGAGAGUUUGUAACACCCGAAGUCGGUGAGGUAACCUUUUGGAGCCAGCCGCCGAAGGUGGGACAGAUGAUUGGGGUGAAGUCG